rnacentral:rRNA from 1 species
CGAACGCUGGCGGCAGGCCUAACACAUGCAAGUCGAGCGCGCCCUUCGGGGUGAGCGGCGGACGGGUUAGUAACGCGUGGGAACGUACCCUUUGGUAGGGAAUAGCCACUGGAAACGGUGAGUAAUACCCUAUGAGCCCUUCGGGGGAAAGAUUUUAUCGCCAAAGGGAUCGGCCCGCGUUAGAUUAGGUAGUUGGUGGGGUAAUGGCCUACCAAGCCUACGAUCUAUAGCUGGUUUUAGAGGAUGAUCAGCAACACUGGGACUGAGACACGGCCCAGACUCCUACGGGAGGCAGCAGUGGGGAAUCUUGGACAAUGGGGGCAACCCUGAAUCCAGCCAUGCCGCGUGAGUGAAGAAGGCCUUAGGGUCGUAAAGCUCUUUCGCCUGUGAAGAUAAUGACGGUAGCAGGUAAAGAAACCCCGGCUAACUCCGUGCCAGCCGCUGC